rnacentral:rRNA from 1 species
AGAGAGAGACAUGCGCGCAUAUCAAUAAGCGGAGGAAAAGAAACUAACUAGGAUUCCCUUAGUAACGGCGAGUGAAGCGGGAAGAGCUCAAAUUUGAAAUCUUCAAGGUUCUACCUUGACGAAUUGUAGUUUAAAGAAGUGUUUUCUGUUGGAGUUUUGGUAAAAGUUCUUUGGAAUAGGACAUCAUAGAGGGUGAGAAUCCCGUAUUUGACCAUUACUUUCCACUUUGUGAUACACUUUCAAAGAGUCGGAUUGUUUGGGAAUGCAGUCCAAAAUGGGUGGUAAAUUUCAUCUAAAGCUAAAUAUUGGCGAGAGACCGAUAGCGAACAAGUACCGUGAGGGAAAGAUGAAAAGAACUUUGAAAAGAGAGUUAAACAGUACGUGAAAUUGUCAAAAGGGAAGCGUUUGACACCAGUGUUGUUUUCUCGAAAAUCAAUUAAAAAAGGCAGGAUUUUGUGUUGUAUUGACUUUAUCAGCUUUCUGCACUCUUUUCUUGUCUUUUUUAAUGCACUUUUCGUUUAACAAGUCAACAUCAAUUUCUUUUGUUGUAAAAGGGUCAUUGGAAGGUGGCUUUCUUUUCGGAGAAAGUGUUUAUAGCCUUUGGCCUCUGCAAUCGGAGAGAUUGAGGUCUGCAGCGUAGAUCCUUCGGGGUUAGAUACGUUUGUGCUAAGUUAUAGCCUUUUCAUAGACAACUUGUUGACUAUGAUCAGUCAUGUAGCUUACUCGCUUAUGCUAUUUUACCUACGCUUAGGAUGUUGAUGUGAUACUGCGAGCA